rnacentral:rRNA from 1 species
UACAGGGGGGGCAAGCGUUGUUCGGAAUUACUGGGCGUAAAGGGCUCGUAGGUGGCCAACUAAGUCAGACGUGAAAUCCCUCGGCUUAACCGGGGAACUGCGUCUGAUACUGGAUGGCUUGAGUAUGGGAGAGGGAUGCGGAAUUCCAGGUGUAGCGGUGAAAUGCGUAGAUAUCUGGAGGAACACCGGUGGCGAAGGCGGUGCUCUGGGCCGAAACUGACGCUGAGGAGCGAAAGCGUGGGUAGCAAACAGG